UCGGCUUGAGCCGAGUGGAUGAUACGUGGCGUGGUAUACCUGAUCGUUUAGUCAACAAGACGUACGUAAGUCGACAUAGCUCCAUGUAUAUGUUCUUUGGAGCUAGAGCCAAUCAAUAGAAUGAAAUGAAAGAAUGGUAAGCCUAGGGCGACGAACAUGGCUCAAGAGUGUCUAUACAAAGCCCCUCUCUUCUUCACUCAAAGAGGCAAUGCACCCUUUGUUUGAAUGGUACUUGAUUCAUAAAGAAUGAUUCUUUUGAAGUUAUACGGACUUUCUAAAAAAAAAAUGCUCAGCGAUAUAUGAUGCUAAACCGAGACCGAGAUAUAGAGAGGGCUGUCCUUUUGUUUUGUUGUCUCGAAGAGACAAAACAAAAGCACUCAUAUGAAUGGUGCUAAUUCCCAUGUUCUUUCUAGUCUCGUUUGGUUUCGAGAGCCUCCCUCUCCCUGUGGGUCGAGCCUCCUUUUCAGUCGCCCUCUCCCCGUCCCUUACUCGUCUUUUGAAAGCCGUCAUCCUGGAUUUUCUUUCCGUAUGCCGGGGAAAGUACCUCACCCCCACCUUUCUACAUUUAUUAUUAUAUAGAAUUUCCUCGGGUCUCUAUAAAACAGAAUGAAAAGCCCGGGUGGAAGCACAAACAAAAGGAGAGAGAAAAAGUCGAAAAGAAAGGGGGGAAGAAGUCUAGUGCUAGUUCUUACUAACACUUCUUUUUCUAACUUUCAUUUUUGAGUGCUUUCUUUGUUCUCUUAUUUGGAUUGAAAGAAAGAAAAAACUUCCCUUUCUUUCUCUUCUUUAUUUUGGUUUUAUCCCUUCGACGAAUUUCGGCUAUGACCAAUGCCCCACUAGCUAAAUAGGCGUAAGAAAAAGCUACCUGAAAAAAAAGCAAGGUGCACCUUGAAUUGAACUCGACGAAUUGCGUUUUGCCAGAGAGAUUUUUUUAGAAAGAUUCUCCUAAUUCAAAAAUAGAAAGAAUAUAAAUAAAGGCGCAUACGCGGGAAGGGGCCCCCCUCUUUCUUAGAAUUCAACAUUUAUGAUAUGUUUUGCAUCUUGUUCGCCCACUCUUCAUUCAGGGUGAUUCGAACCAGGGGAGGAUCUUCCACCUUUAAGGUCAUAGCACCAGUACUUGAACGCUUACUCUUACUGCUCUUCUCAGGUUCACCUCUUUUGGAUGCCCUGAGGUUUGAAGUCAUUUGUUUAUCACAGAACAAGUCCCCCUCAGUCACUGCCAUAGUUGACCCUCUCUUCCAGAUCCUCGCUUCUAUGAGCCAAAUCACUCUCCUCGGGAGUUCUCUCCUUGACUACACCCUCCUCGGCUUUGUUACCCAAACACUCAUCCUGAGCAAUCUCUUCCGGUUCAGCAGUGUCCAGAUCUGGCAUCUUUGCCUCUUCUUGUUCAGGGUCCUCUAGAACCGCAAAACGGUUCGGGCUGACUAGGUCCAGUUGGGUCAUUCCACUCGCACAACUAGUGUCCAGCCCCCCUUUACUAUUGUAACUACUGGUACCUGACCCCGUCGGCUCGACAUUUUUGCAAGCACCGACCCUGACUCAAUAGGGCAAUUCAAAGAGGAGAACGAGGACAGCUGACUACCGCUAAAAGUCAGACUAAGAACAUUGUAUGAUUGAAAACUGCCGCUGCAUACUACCCGGUGCUUGCAGGUCUGACUGGUGCCUUCUCUCCAACAGCUGCUUCAAUCAAUGUUAAGUCUGACUACGCCCGCAGCUGACUACUUAUUGAAAGACCGAACAGGAAAUGAAAAGUCGUACUACAACAACUGUAAAUAAACAUUCCCUCCCCGCUCUGACUUUGAUCGACUUGCCCGCACAGCGUCUUUUUUGAGAAAAGAGGUCAAGGGGCUAAGUGACUCUCGAAAGUCGUCUUUUGUAUCGCGUCAAGAGAAAUGACAUAGAUAAGAUCAUUGCUUAAAGAGUUUCAUUGUCGAAUUGAUCUCGAAAUUGGAUCCCAAUAGUAGCUGCUGCCCAAAGGUGCUUUAUGAAAGCCGGUCCACAGCAGUGAAAGUACGAUUGAUUCCGUCGAUCGAACGAAAACCGCUUCUUGCUUUUUUGGCUUGACUACUCUGCUUGCUUAACACAAGUCUUAUUUAACCUUCACGGACCACUUCACUACCCAGCAAGCUCCGGCUCGAAAGCAAGAAGCAAGGGCGCAGCUGCUGCGCGAACGCCGUUGCGCCUUAGCGCAUCCCCUUUCUUGCUCGUUAGCGCUGUUUUUUGAUUGCAGCUAGCGCGCUUGACUAAUAAGAUAGAAAGGGCCUUUCUCGCUUGUUUGAAGCCAUAUAAGGCUUUCCUCAAUCGGCAAACAAGGGGGAAGUCUGCCACACCAACCCUUUAAGAGAUAGGGACUCCAGCGCAGCGGUAAGAAAAAGUCACUCAGUGAAUCGGUGGAUCACACUUGGAGACAGGGACAGGGGCAUGCCUGACUCUUUAGAAAGUAUACAAGUGUUGAAAGAGUGAAGUCUGGGGACAACGGUAAACGUGAGGAAUGGCACCUCCGCCCUACUAAAGAAGUUCGCAAGCAAGGGACAUGCCGAACACCUACCUUUCCAACUAAGUCCAAGGCGAGGACCUUUUAAUUGACGAUGCGUUCCGUCGUCAGCAAGCGGUGGCCGACAAGGCCCCUUUCCUUAGAGUCAAGUGGCUGAACGCCCCUUUCCCUAAAUAUCUUGGGAAGCGAAGAGGACAGGUUUGAAACUCAUUCGGUAAUCUUCUCCUGAAGGUAGGCAUUUCCCCAAGGCACUGAUAUGAUGACUCUCUCAAUUACACGUGUUUUAGGGAGUUGAACGUCUUAUUCUUAUGAGUGGCCUAUGUGAAUAUAAGCCAGGAGCAAGGAUUCCGGAAAGUCAAAUUCUAUAUUGCAAGUGCAAGUCGACGUUCCUGAUAUGAAAGUGAAAGCCGGCCCUAAGCAGGAUCCAAAGACGUUUAAGUCCAGUUCCAAUCUGGAUAUAAAAGUAAAGUUCAAUCGUCGAAAGUGAGAUCUCUUUUAGUCCGGUCUUCUUUUCUCUUUUGAGUCAGGUUCUUAAGACAGGAAAUCGGGUUUUCUGAAUAUCUCUCUUCCGGCCGCCGGCCUGGCCUAUUAAGUAAGUUAGUUAGAGAUCGAAACUGGACCUGAGAGAGACUAGACUUCUAGUAAGAGUAGGUGCGCCUUAAGUUGAGGAGAGCUGUUCACAAGCAGUGGUUAUGAGCUCUUUCUUGUUCCGGUUCAGAAGAGGCUGCGCACCUUCAGUUGCACUAGUGGAUUGAAUAACCUUUUUUUUGAGUGCCAACAAAGUGCAUGUGUUCUUGGUUAAUAAAAACACAAGUAUAGGCUGGAGGACUGAUACUAUAAGUAGGACAAAGGCCUUCAAAGAGAAAUGAAAGGAUUUUUUGAGCAUUUUUCCACUUAUCCAAGGAAUCCCUUUCUUGACAUUUGUAUUUGAGAGAGAGAGCUAUGCUUAGGUCAGUUCCUUCAGUCAACUUUUUUGGUAAGCCAAAAGUGAACUUUAGGUAAGUAAGUAGUCCCGUAUGAAAUUCAGAAAACAUUCAUAUCUGGCACUUGAGGAGGUCAAUCUUAAGUGUUGGAAGCUACUGCUAAGGGACUCCCCCUCAUCUAGAAAGGAUAGGCAAUUGAGAGAGAAUAGGGCGAUAGCGACAGACACAGGAACUGAAAUAGAUUUAAAGAUUACUUCCGUAGAGGAGAGGGGAAGGCUGCUUAGAUAGGGCGAUAGCCCGGUUUUUAUUGUUUAUCCUUUCCUGCGCUUGUCUUGUAUUGAGGUAUACCGAAGAGAUUCGUAAAAGUAGGUAACAGAAGGGGAGGGAUUGCUGUUUUUUAUUAGUGAGGACAAGCCGCUUUCAUUUUCAACAAUCUAAUGCCACACCAACCCUUUAAAGAGUAGGCGGUUCGUAUCUUUCUAUGACCCCCAAGAAGUAGGAGGAUAGGCAGAGCAAGAGCUCUUGAAGUCUACCCGGGCGCGCUUCUUCAUUCAUCCAUUUAGGCCCGGCUAGGAACACGUGGAUCCAGGGAACCUGGCUCGGGAACAGCUUCUUACUAGUAGGAGCUAAUCACAGUAAGAGAGUCCAAUCUCUGAAAUAGAGCUUAGUCUCUCCAUAGUAGUCUACUAGUAGAAGGCUUAGGUUAUGACUUGAUCCAAUAGAGUCAGAACACCCUUCUAUCUAAAAGAAAUGGUGCUCGAUGAAAGGAUCCAGAUUCCACACUAUGCUGUGGGCUGGGGAGAGAGCUGCUCUGCGAAGCUGGGCGUUCAGUGUUCUUAUGGAGGAAGCAUACUAGAAAGAGAAUUGAAAGGGCCUUCAAAAAAGAGCGAGGGGGUGAUGGGCAACCUUAGUCUAUAUGUUGCUCGUGAGCCGCCAAGUACCAGUCUCGCAACAGUAUUGGCGCAAAAAAAAGGAUCGGUCCUUCACUUGCUGAUCGUUCGCGAGUCGAACUCGCUCUCUUGCCACGCCUUUCACUCACUCGCUUGAGUCGGACUCAAUCACUCUUUGAGUUUGGAGGAUCAUUCGUUAUUCACUCUCUUGCUAUUACCCGCAGGGAGCGCAGCAACCAAGAUGCAUAUUAUCAUAUAGAAAGAGGCGAAGCGUAGCGAUUCGUACUACCGGAAAAGUUUCGCUAACCGGCAGGCAAUAGAAUCAGCCGAUAGGCGCAGGCAAGCGUAGCGAAUCACAUAGAUAAGCCCCUACCUGCCAGCGCGCGGAUGGAUAGGGCGGGCGAAGCGCGAAGGGGAUGGAUGUCUGAGCGGUUGAAAGAGUCGGUCUUGAAAACCGAAGUAUUUUUAGAAAUACCGGGGGUUCGAAUCCCUCUCCAUCCGCGUGAACAUAACAUGUAAUGUUGUUACGAAUGUAACUCCCGAAGGAUCGACCACUAUUCUAAAUAUAGUAAGGCGGAGAACUGUUGUUCAGUGGAGCGCCGGAGUGCGGAGGUUGUUCCCAUCAUUGAAGUCAGGGUGUGGGACUGAGCCUUCCGAAUGAGAAAGAAGAAAAGUGCUUAGUUUCGUUGGAAAAACCAACGCAAAUAUCAUAUUGACUUUCUCUCGCCCUACUUCUAAAGAUAGAUAGAAAGGGUUGGAGAGAAUUUCAGAAAGUCAUUCUCUCCUUUCUAAAGCUGCGCAAGGCGGCCCCCCCAGAACAAAGCCCACCCCUCUUUUCCCCCCUUUAAUGAAGGACCCUCGCCUCGCUUCCUAUUCAUUUGUGGGUCUGGACCCUAUUUUUUUUUUUCAAUUUCGAGAAUCAACCAACGGAAAAAUCCGUAGCCCAGGUGACUCACAGCCUCCCUCUCGCCCAAAUAAAUGAAAUGGGAUGAAUCAAAUCAAUAAGCUUUUUGAUUGAUUCAGGGCGCAGCGAAGCCAAAUUCAAUCAAGGAAAGGGGGCUUACUUUUCCUGAGGCUGAUUCAUCCUAUUCAAAUUUAGCUAUGCUAAUGGAAGAGGAAAAGUUUUCAGAUGAGAUGGACCCCCAAGAGAUGAGCGAGAACCCCCAAUUGCUUAGGGGUCGCACUCUGUCCCGCUUGGUGGACGAAAUCUUCUCUCCUUUUUGAAUUCUUUCUCCCACACACCCUUUUUGCCCUCUUUCGCCGAGGAGGAAAGAAUAAUCUUCCAAGCGGACAGAGACCUAAAUUUCCAUUAGAUUCAUUCCUAAGCUUGCUUUGUUGCAGCAAGAUGAUCAGUCCGAGAGUGCUGGAGAGAAGAGAAAGCGGUAAAAACCUCUCUUAUUCGGUCACCGAGAAGUCGGACGACUCUUCAGUAACCCAGGGUGAUCCGACCCCUUCGACGCUUUUUUCGCUGUAUACCCCCUCCAUCCUUCGGAGGUGGAAGAAAGGGUACUCACAUUUUAAUACAUAGUAGGGCCCCAGAACGCUAAAAGGUGGGGGAACAAGAGUUGUCACGAUAGAAAAGAGAAAAAAAGAAAUGACUAUAAGGAACCAACGGCUCUCUCUUCUUAAACAACCUAUAUCCUCCACACUUAAUCAGCAUUUGAUAGAUUAUCCAACCCCGAGCAAUCUUAGUUAUUGGUGGGGGUUCGGUUCGUUAGCGGGUAUUUGUUUAGUCAUUCAGAUAGUGACUGGCGUUUUUUUUAGCUAUGCAUUACACACCUCAUGUGGAUCUAGCUUUCAACAGCGUAGAACACAUUAUGAGAGAUGUUGAAGGGGGCUGGUUGCUCCGUUAUAUGCAUGCUAAUGGGGCAAGUAUGUUUUUCAUUGUGGUUCACCUGCAUAUUUUUCGUGGUCUAUAUCAUGCCAGUUAUAGCAGUCCUAGGGAAUUUGUUCGGUGUCUCGGAGUUGUAAUCUUCCUAUUAAUGAUUGUGACAGCUUUUAUAGGAUAUGUACUACCUUGGGGUCAGAUGAGCUUUUGGGGAGCUACAGUAAUCACAAGCUUAGCUAGCGCCAUACCUGUAGUAGGAGAUACCAUAGUGACUUGGCUUUGGGGUGGGUUCUCCGUGGACAAUGCCACCUUAAAUCGUUUUUUUAGUCUUCAUCAUUUACUCCCCUUUAUUUUAGUAGGCGCCAGUCUUCUUCAUCUGGCCGCAUUGCAUCAAUAUGGAUCCAAUAAUCCAUUGGGUGUACAUUCAGAGAUGGAUAAAAUUGCUUCUUACCCUUAUUUUUAUGUAAAGGAUCUAGUAGGUUGGGUAGCUUUUGCUAUCUUUUUUUCCAUUUGGAUUUUUUAUGCUCCUAAUGUUUUGGGGCAUCCCGACAAUUAUAUACCUGCUAAUCCGAUGUCCACCCCGCCUCAUAUUGUGCCAGAAUGGUAUUUCCUACCGAUCCAUGCCAUUCUUCGUAGUAUACCUGACAAAUCGGGAGGUGUAGCCGCAAUAGCACCAGUUUUUAUAUGUCUGUUGGCUUUACCCUUUUUUAAAAGUAUGUAUGUACGUAGUUCAAGUUUUCGCCCGAUUCACCAAGGAAUAUUUUGGUUGCUUUUGGCGGAUUGCUUACUACUAGGUUGGAUCGGAUGUCAACCUGUGGAGGCACCCUUUGUUACUAUUGGACAAAUUUCUCCUUUAGUUUUCUUCUUGUUCUUUGCCAUAACGCCCAUUCUGGGACGAGUUGGAAGAGGAAUUCCUAAUUCUUACACGGAUGAGACUGAUCACACCUGAUUAGUGAGAAAUUCUUACACCAAUCAUUUACGAGUGGGUAUUACACCAAGAAUUUACAAGCGGAUCGAGGAAUGAAGGGAGAGGAAUUUGAAUAGAAAGAAAGAGACGUAUUUCGAAUUAGAGUAAGGGCACGCUAAGACAUUCCUUUUCGUGCUUUCGAUCUGCUUACUUUGAAUAAAGAGAAAAAAAAAAAAGAAUAGAUAGGCGGAAAGGCUUUACACAAGACCACAGAGCGAGAGAGAGAGCCUUCGCUUACCUGCUUAACCGUACCCUCCUAUCGUACCUAUAUAGCCUUUCCUUCAGUUAUAUCCAGUUUCAGUUCUGCUUCCAACUACCGAUGGGAGAAGGCUUGGACGUAUAGCAAGAUUAAAUAAGAGGUAUUGCAUACGGGAAUGAUAUAUGAAAUGAAAGGUUGGAAACAGAGCUGGAGAUGAGCGCUAGCCAAUGGUUAAGACUUCAGAAAGCACCUUAGCAAUUACCAGUAAUGCCCCUAUCGACCUCAGUCUUGUUUUUUGCUAGCUUGAGUUCAUAACUUUACUAUUUAUCAUUAAACGUAGAAUAUCCCGACUUCGCUAGCCAGAACGAAAUGGACAUAUGAGCGAUCGAUUACGAGAGCUCGACCGAUCAGACCGGGAAGAAGAGAAAGAAAGGUCAAUCUCCGAAAGGCCUUCGCAGAGCUGAGCUUUAGGGGGUAAUACUUUUUGUGGUCUUGCACAUGGAAAAGUCAAGUAUUCUACGCAGGCUUGAUUUACCGGAAUUUUUGCUUCAAAGAAUGCUUUCAAGCUAGGAAUUUAAGCACGGAUAGCUUUAUUUGACAAUUAGCUGGAAGUCGGGUAUGCCUAUUCAACAUAGACUAAGGCGCUGGGUAGAUCGUAGAUUGCCGGGUAUGAAUUCGAUUCUAAGUCGGAGAAUGCCCAUGAAUAGGGUCUUAUUACAGAAUCCGCAGUUUAGAAAGUAGCCCUAGACAGAUCAUUGCUAAGAGGAGAGCUGGGAAUUUCUUGCUAAUCAGGUGCUAUCAUCGUAUUAUAAUGAUUAUUCCGACGUCAGAGCAGACGGGACUACCAAUCCCAGAGUGAAUUAACCUUGUCUGCACUACCACCUUAGUUUACUAGACCUUGGGGAAUUGGCUAGUUACCCUCACUCCGCGUGGCAGCCUACCUACGUUUUGUCUUUUUCCUACGAGACCUUAUAGUUUCCCAGCCUUUCUCCGCCUACAUGCCCCCCGAAAUCAGAUUGGCUUUUUUCUUGAGGAAGGUCCAUCCGCUUUUGUUUUCGAAUAAGACUAAGGCGUGAGCGAGGGUCUCUUUGUGGUGGUCUUUCACCAUCUUCCUUUUGUUUUGAUUGGCCUAUAUCUUUGAAUCCGGUCUAUCGCUAUUCCCACAGUCCCUUAGUCCCGUACCGGCUGUCGGUCUAUCUCAUAUUCGCAGAAGAAGGAACUUGCUUAAUGCCAUGCCGGAAGUGUAAUUAAGUAGGCGGCUGGUCGUAGAAUAGUCUUUUCAGUAAGUGCUGUUGCAGUUGUAGAACCAUUGGCCAUUGAUUCUUCCUCGCAAACCCUUCAUCCCCGCUGUCUAGCUCUCUCGUAGUCCAAAGCUAAUUCAAUCGUAUCCGCCUUUGAGGAAAAGACCGAAUAAGUCUUUGAGCCAUCCUAAUAAAUCCUCGUAGGUAAUGCUCUUGGUCUGCCUUCAAUCAGUUUAUCAGCCUAAGGCUUCGCUCUAUUACCUGUGUUGUAAGCUUUCCAGUCUUUGAAGUAAGGUUCAAUGCUAGGAAAAAAGCUUUUGCUUCGCGGGUCUAUCACCCCAAUUGAUUUUGUUAGGAAAUUUUAUAUAUGAGUAUGCCCCUAUCCCGUAAGCCUUCCAUCGUUGCAAGCCCCUUCCAUUCGGCCCAAGCUUUCUUUCGAUUACGUCUGCUUCCGAUUCUGUUAUUCCGUUAGCCUUAGUUAGUCGUUUAGUCAAAGCCGUACGUAUGCCCCUUUCGAAUCGUUCUAUCAUUCGAAGUAGGAGCUGGGGUUGCGGGCAGAGAACUAUUGGUAUAGCGAGUUCAUGUGCUUGCAGUUGGGUUACUACCAUCCCCCUAACCAUUAGUAUCACACUCUGUGAAGUGUCUCUCUGGUAUUGGGAUAACUUCAAGCCCCUUAGCUCGCUUGUAUCGGGGGGAGCUUACUUCACUUCUUUUCUUUAAGUCACUUGCCAGGAGGGAAAGCAGCAGAUAAAGAGCACCAUCACCUUACUUAACAAAGGGCUUAUGCGAAAGAGCACCGCUUCCCCGAGAAGAUAAUCCGCUUUCCUAAAAUCC
rnacentral:lncRNA from 1 species